rnacentral:rRNA from 1 species
AGUGAACGCUGGCGGUAGGCCUAGCACAUGCAAGUCGAACGGCAGCACAGUAAGAGCUUGCUCUUACGGGUGGCGAGUGGCGGACGGGUGAGGAAUACACCGGAAUCUACUUUUUCGUGGGGGAUAACGUAGGGAAACUUACGCUAAUACCGCAUACGACCUACGGGUGAAAGCAGGGGAUCUUCGGACCUUGCGCGAUUGAAUGAGCCGAUGUCGGAUUAGCUAGUUGGCGGGGUAAAGGCCCACCAAGGCGACGAUCCGUAGCUGGUCUGAGAGGAUGAUCAGCCACACUGGAACUGAGACACGGUCCAGACUCCUACGGGAGGCAGCAGUGGGGAAUAUUGGACAAUGGGCGCAAGCCUGAUCCAGCCAUACCGCGUGGGUGAAGAAGGCCUUCGGGUUGUAAAGCCCUUUUGUUGGGAAAGAAAAGCAGCAGGUUAAUACCCCGCUGUUCUGACGGUACCCAAAGAAUAAGCACCGGCUAACUUCGUG